CUGGGGACGCAGCUCAGUGGUAGAACAUGUUUCUAGCAGGCACAAGGUCCUGGGUUCAAUUCCCAGCACCAGA
rnacentral:tRNA from 1 species